rnacentral:rRNA from 1 species
AGAAUGAACGCUGGCGGCAUGCCUAACACAUGCAAGUCGAACGAAUAUCCUUCGGGAUGUUAGUGGCGCACGGGUGCGUAACGCGUGGGAAUCUACCCUUGGGUUCGGAAUAACAGUGAGAAAUUACUGCUAAUACCGGAUAAUGUCGCAAGACCAAAGAUUUAUUGCCCAAGGAUGAGCCCGCGUAAGAUUAGCUAGUUGGUGGGGUAAAGGCCUACCAAGGCGACGAUCUUUAGCUGGUCUGAGAGGAUGAUCAGCCACACUGGGACUGAGACACGGCCCAGACUCCUACGGGAGGCAGCAGUGGGGAAUAUUGGACAAUGGGCGAAAGCCUGAUCCAGCAAUGCCGCGUGAGUGAUGAAGGCCUUAGGGUUGUAAAGCUCUUUACCCGGGAAGAUAAUGACUGUACCGGGAGAAUAAGCCCGGCUAACUCCGCGCCAGCAGCCGC